AAUGCUUCAAGCUUUGAAUUGCAUAGCAUGUUGUGUGUGUAUUUGUUUAUAGGCAAACUUUAUUGACUCCUGAAAAGUUCAGGACUUUGUCACAGUUCAAGUGUUUAAGAGCAGUAGCUGAACCAGGAGAACCUGUUGGACUACGAGCAGCACAAUCUAUUGGUGAACCUUCCACUCAGAUGACAUUGAAUACAUUUCAUUUUGCUGGUAGAGGAGAAAUGAACGUCACACUAGGGAUACCACGUCUAAGGUGAUGCACACUGCAGUGCUGCACACAAAUACAUGUAUAUGCUACAGUGAAUUAAAAAGAGAUAUUAAUGACUGGUGGUCCUAAUAUUAAAAUUCCAGCAAUGGAUGUACCACUACUACCACUGCCUGAUGCAAAGGAGCAAUGCGUCAUAAAAAUGAUAUCAAAAAAUCUUUUAAUUCAUUUUUGGAGAAUUUGUGAUUACUGUAGAUUAUUCUCAAUUUAAUAUUGUGUGCACACAAUGUUAGUUUUAGACAAUCUUCCUGACUUUAUGGUUUACUGUUAAUUAUUUAUCUGUGUGUAGUUUUUUGGUUAGUUAGUUCUGUGUGUCUGGUCUAUAUUGUUUUGCUGUAAAGUCUCUCUUUUCUCUCUCUCUCUUUAUCUUUUAUCCUCUGUAAUAAUACUUUUACUUCAGUUACAA